rnacentral:rRNA from 1 species
GACGUAGGGCGCGAGCGUUGUCCGGAUUUAUUGGGCGUAAAGAGCGUGUAGGCGGCUUGGCAAGUCCGCUGUGAAAACUCGAGGCUUAACCUCGAGACGUCGGUGGAAACUGCCUGGCUAGAGUCCGGAAGAGGAGUGUGGAAUUCCUGGUGUAGCGGUGAAAUGCGCAGAUAUCAGGAAGAACACCUAUGGCGAAGGCAGCACUCUGGGACGGUACUGACGCUGAGACGCGAAAGCGUGGGGAGCGAACAGG